rnacentral:rRNA from 1 species
GACGAACGCUGGCGGCGUGCCUAACACAUGCAAGUCGAACGACGUGGCGAACGUGUGAGUAACGCGUAAUCAACCUGCCCUUCUGAGGGGGACAACAGUUGGAAACGACCGCUAAUACCGCAUACUGAAGGUGGGGAUUGCGUCUGAUUAGCUAGGUGGAGGGGUAACGGCCCACCAAGGCGAGGAUCAGUAGCCGGGCUGAGGGGAUGGACGGCCACAGUGUGACUGGGACACGGCCCAGACUCCUACGGGAGGCAGCAGGGGGGAAUCUUCCGCAAUGGACGAUAGUCUGACGGAGUAACGCCGCGUGAGUGAUGACGGCCUUCGGGUUGUAAAGCUCUGUUAAUCGGGACGCGGUACCGGAAUAGAAAGCCACGGCUAACUACGUGCCAGCAGCCGCGGUAAUAC